UACGUAGGCAGCAAGCGUUGUUCGGAAUUACUGGGCGUAAAGAGUGUGUAGGCGGUGUUCUAAGUCUGGUGUGAAAUCUCCCGGCUCAACUGGGAGGGUGCGCUAGAAACUGGAAUGCUAGAGGAUGGGAGAGGUAAGCGGAAUUCCUGGUGUAGCGGUGAAAUGCGUAGAUAUCGGGAAGAACACCCGUGGCGAAGGCGGCACUCUGGGACGGUACUGACGCUGAGACGCGAAAGCGUGGGGAGCGAACAGG
rnacentral:rRNA from 1 species